AGUGGUGAGGCAGGAGCUGGAGCUCGUUGCUUUUAGCCACUUCCGUCUCUCGCCGCCUUCCGCUGCCUUUCCUGAUUCAGGCACGAGGAGAGAGGAAGGCGUUUGUGUGAAGUCUGCUUUCCGUUCCGAGGGUGGAAGGGUGGUCUCCUAGCAUCUGUCUGCUAAUCCCCAGUCUCCAAGGUUGCUUUGGUUUCCUGGAAGUCUCCUUUGGUAGUCACACACAUCGCCCCUCCUUUUUUAGGGCUUCCCCAUCUGUGCAAGUCAGCUAUGGAUUUUCAGCUUUUGUGAUUGGGGCUAGGCCUGUGCAGAAGGGAAUGAAUUGAUUAGAGACUCUGGCACUGAGUAUCAGAUUUUGCAGGACAUACAGUAUGUUCCUCCAGAGCUACAUAAGAAAUGGAAAGAAUUCACAGCUCACUUCUUUCACUGAGUGGGGAGCCUCAGCAGAUCCUAGGCUGGUGGAAACUUGCUUCAUGUUGGAGAGAAGUCCUGCUGAACUCUGCGAGGGAACAUACUGUGCCUUGCUGGCGUACUGGGUAGACAUGAUUGUUACCUGGGAACAAAUGGAAGCCUAGAGAAGAGAGGCACCAAGUACAAGUUCACGUGGUAUGGGUGUCCAACAUCAGUCCCUGUCCCGUUCCCGCUUUAUUCUCCUCAGAGCCUGCAUCAUAAAUACAGUGAUCGACCGA